GGAAGUUCGGGCUCCCAGCUUGGCCCCGAGGCAGGUGAAGCGCAGGGCGGGGAGUGGGAUUACACCGUCGGAGGCAUCCGACAAAAUCCGGUGGAGAUUCGGCCAACUUCUCCAUCCUGCAGUCGGGCAGGGGGCUGACGAACCAGUGCAGCCGAGGAAACAGCAGUGAGUGGACAAUGACCGCAGCCGCCAAGGGCCCCUGACCGGCUACUGUGACAACUUAAGGAGAUGAGGUGUUAGUGGCUGAUCAUAACAGCACGUGUUGUCCCCAUCGGAUGACAUUUACAUUUAAUUGUGGCCUUGAAUGCCGGCAGUAGUAAUCCUAGAGAGGCCCUUUGCACUUGCUGGUACUACUUCCUGGUAUGCUCUUCAUCCCGAUCAUUGCUUGUCAUGUUCCCUCAUUUUAUUCAGACGAGCACAUGCUGAGUCCCCACUCCGCGGAGCCCGCAUGAACCUCUGGACCUCUGACCGACCUGCCCACUUCUUUCCUAAAUUUUGACUUCUGAAAAGAUCAACACAGCUAAACCACUUCCACCUGGCAGGGAGAGGCCCCUGCCUUGGCAUAUCCCUACCCACUGGAGCCCUGACUUAGCAGAAGUUCUCAUCACGGGAGAUCCAGGAAAGUCUCUGAAAGAAGAUGCUGGGGUUCCCAGGAACACCUUUCCUGAGUCUGUGCUAUGAUUAGGGCAUCUUUGUUUUACGCACCUACGUGAAGCAGACAUUUUUGGCAAUGCCUUUAUUCUAUAGAACGCCAGCUAGGUCUAGGGCUGAGAAAAGCACCAUGUUUAUAUGCCCACAAAUUUUCUCAAUCAUGAGCAAAUUAUUUGCUCCUCGCCCCAUGAAAAAAAUGAACUUUCUCUUUUGAGAGUUUGGAGAAAAUAAAAAAGCGAAAUUAACCAAUCAAAGAGAGCUUGGACAAUAAAGUGAACAAAGACAUUUGCUUUCCAAAAGCGUGUUUCAAUAUUUUAUCUAGAAAAAUCUUCCCAAAGUUAUAAAUAGCGCCUAGCCAUGAGUUCCAGCAUCAACCUCGGAGAAGUGCUUCCAGCUUUAUGACUGAGUUUGUGUGCCUGUGGCCAAAGGGAUUUGGAAUGGAAACUUUUUUUUUUUUUGUCGUCUGGCUUAUUGUUGUUUCCUUCUGUGGCCACAGUAUUUGUCUGGGCCAUGGGAUUACUCAAUCAAUCAAAUAUUUAUUGAGUAACCAGACAACCAAUGGAAACACUAGACUUGGAUCAUAUUGUACAGAUCAUACUAUCUGUCUUAAAGUCUUUUUUUUUUUUUAAUUUUUUUUUUCAACGUUUAUUUAUUU